rnacentral:rRNA from 1 species
UACGUAGGGUGCGAGCGUUGUCCGGAAUUAUUGGGCGUAAAGAGCUCGUAGGCGGUCUGUCGCGUCGAUCGUGAAAACUUGGGGCUUAACCCUGAGCUUGCGGUCGAUACGGGCAUGACUAGAGUGCGGUAGGGGAGACUGGAAUUCCUGGUGUAGCGGUGAAAUGCGCAGAUAUCAGGAGGAACACCGGUGGCGAAGGCGGGUCUCUGGGCCGUAACUGACGCUGAGGCACGAAAGCGUGGGGAGCAAACAGG